rnacentral:lncRNA from 1 species
GAAGAGGGAGUUCAGAUGGGUUCAUUCAGAAGUAAGGCCUCAGAAAUGGGAAGUGUUGUGGUGGUGAGAUUAAAUAGUUGGAAGGGGUGAGAAGGGGUUAGAGUUGUGAAGUUCAGAGGGAUUGGGAACGGAUGUUGUGGGUUCAGAGUUGGUGUAGGUAGAUGAUGGUUGAGGUAAAGAGGAAAAUAAUUGCUUUAAAUUAGAGUUUAAAGGAGUUUCACAGGGAACUGGCUUACUUAAAGUAGGGGAGUCCAGAGGCACGAG